rnacentral:rRNA from 1 species
UACGAAGGGGGCUAGCGUUGUUCGGAAUCACUGGGCGUAAAGCGCACGUAGGCGGAUCUUUAAGUCAGGGGUGAAAUCCCGAGGCUCAACCUCGGGAACUGCCUUUGAUACUGGGGAUCUCGAGUCCGGGAGAGGUGAGUGGAACUGCGAGUGUAGAGGUGAAAUUCGUAGAUAUUCGCAAGAACACCAGUGGCGAAGGCGGCUCACUGGCCCGGAACUGACGCUGAGGUGCGGAAAGCGUGGGGAGCAAACAGG